GACGAACGCUGGCGGCGUGCUUAAUACAUGCAAGUCGAACGUGAGGAUGGUGGGAAUUCUUCCGGGAAUGGAGAUGAAAUGAAAGUGGCGAACGGGUGAGUAACAAGUGAGAAAACUAGGUUAAACAGGGGAAUAGGGGGCGGAAACGAGGAAAAAUACUGAAUGAGAUGGUAGAAUAGUAUAAUACAGGGGUCAAGGGUUUAUCGGUGUAAGAGGGGCUGGCGUCUGAUGAGCUAGUUGGAAGGGUAAAGGCAGACCAAGGCGACGAUCAGUAGCCUGUGUGUGAGGUUCAACCGCCACACUGGAACUGAGCCACGGUCCGAACUCCUACGGGAGGCAGCAGUGCGUAACAUUGCACCAUCGCGGGAACCCUGAUGCUGCUACGCCGCGUGAACUAAGUUGGUUGUCGAAUCCUAAAGCUCUAGCCUAUGAGAAGAUAAUGACGGUAUCUUAUCAGGAAGCCCCGGCUAAAUACGUG
rnacentral:rRNA from 1 species